CAGGACUCUGGAAGGUUUACGGGUUCAUAAAGCUGGGUUCAUAGGAAAGGUGGUAAACCCACUUUUAAUAUAAAGAAGAAAUCUCUUAAAAACGGAGAGCGAGUGAGUUUAGGGCCCGGAGGAAAUACGGCACGGAGGUUUAAGGUGGAGAAGAAAAUGGAAAGUACGUGGUACCCGCAAGGAGAUGCGCCGUGGGAGGAGAGGACGGCUGGUGACUACGCACCAAGUCCGCCGAAAGCUGCUCGUCUACACAGCCUGCAGCAGAGUGGCUGAGUAUCUUCCUUCACAGAGAACCUGGGAACGAACUGGAUGCGUUAAGAAAAGCUUAGGAAGUGUAAAAAAGUCAGCCUCGUUAGGUCUGGAUAUUUAAUCUGAAGAAUGGUUGCCGUGAUCGGGUUACAGCUGCAUGAUGGCUUCGAAUUCAACUUCAUUCGUUACCUACCGCUGAGAGAUCGCGUAAAGACACUUUUCCAACUAGAGGUGGCUCGCCUUCUGGAUGACUGGCAUGGUCUUCAUAGACUUCAAGGCGUGUAGCCUUGAAGUAGCAGCUCACGGAAACUUCACAAGACCGCUAAGAAGUUCCUUGCUUGGCCAAGAGGACCUCUGCCAUAAUACCCUGUCUUCCUGCGCAAGGGUCGGUUUGGUCCUCAGCUUUCAGAAAUUUUACAGUUGAGAAUAAUCCACCGUGGGACGAAGGCACACGGUGAAAACAUGCACAACGGGGAUGAUGCAGAGAAGACGCACUGAAUUAUGUGUAUGCCCUGGAACCUGAGGGAUUUCAGGACAUUAAACAUUCUCGAGAUAUUUAUACCUCUACUGUCUCUUCGGGGACUUAGGACUUGGCCAGUGUUAACCUUUGGAAGUUAAAAGCAAGGCAUGGUAACUCGUUAAGAAUUGCUGCAGGAUUGCUCUGCACCUUCUAGCGCAACAGUUUUGAGAAAGCAUCCCCCAACAUUUAAAAAUCACAUUUUUACCAGUGUCUUUAUGGAAAAACGGUUGAGCAAGAUCGAAGGAAUGUUUUACGUAUGGAAAGGGUAGAAUAAUCUUCUUGAAAAUGGCACAGUUUGACAAAGAUAACAGGUUUUAAAGAAUUUCAUUUUUUUGUGGGGGAAAAAAAAAACAAACACUGGGAAAAAGCCUUUCUUGGAACAGCUACUGAACACACAGGGAAGGCGCAGCCUCUCUCUGUGCUUCCGCCUGGAAGGUGCUGAAGACCUCUCCGAUAACGCGACUACCAUGGAUACAUCCAUUGACACAGAUUCAAGCUGAGCUCCUGCAUCAGUGCAUUUAGGCGAUCUCCAAAUAUCCUAGGGCAUUUUUUCCUGUUUUUCUGUAGCACCCUUCAGUAGCCAGGGCCACGGGUUGUUGGGUCCGUCCUGUGACUUUGGAAACACUGCCUGUCUGCUCUGGAUUUAAACACCGCCUUUCUACAGAGCUUUUCGUUAGCUGAUGCUCCAACCUGAUGCUGCAGCAAGCACGAGGAACGUAUUUACCCUUCUCUGAAAGCUGGAUAAUUCACUGGAUAGUCUCCGUUCUUGGUAAAUGGAAAGCUGAAAGCUGUAAACUGUAUCUUAAAAGUUCAUUGCGAACAGAGUGCUGCAGGAAGUAGCAAGCUUAUCAAAGAUCUUUACGUUGCCUACAGUAUCAAAUGUUAUGUUCACGGGGAGAACGGACAAACAAAUUGGCAGGAUAUGCCAAUAGAGUCUAGACUGGAAAAGGUCCCCUGAGAAGUUAAUUUCCAGAUCUUUAAUCUACUGCAUUUUAUAUAUUGUUACCUACAAUAGCGCAGCUUUUCAUGCACCCGUACUUAAAGGAAAAUGUAGUUAAAUACUCUUGAAAAAAGAGGGAAUAAAAGGAAUUACUGUGUUCCUUUUUAUCUAACUGCAUGUUUUCCCAAAUGCAACUUGAAGCCUUGUUCAGCAGAAUAUUGACAUACGUGCCUGUGUCAGUCAGAGUGCCCGCACACUCGCUGUACUCCCUGGAGCUCAGCGGACGCUUUAAACUAGGUGCUGAAAUGCCCUACGGAAUAGGAGCCAAUAAUUCAGAUUUCUUUUUCUUUAAGGUGGAGGACGAGGAGCUAACUCUUGCCCCAGGAAGCCACCAGAAAGGAGAUGGUUUGGGAAGCCUUGUGCCCCUCAUCUCCUGGGGGACAUCAAGAGCGUUGCUAAACCUACCGUGUCAGAAGUACUCCAGGGGGUGAGGUGUGACGUGGCAGUCCGCUCCUUCAUCACCGUUCUCAGAUCAUUGGCUUUGCACGCAAUUUGUACCUGCCUUGGAGGAGAUGAACAUCUCUUCAGCUAAUGAAAAUACCACGGAACACACAGGAGGUGACUAUGAACUCUUCCAAAAGUGUUUGGCAGUAGAGAAGACAGGCCUGUUCACAAAGAAUUGAAUUAAAAAGUUAUGAAGGAGGUCCCAGGUUACAAGACAGUCUCUGUUUUUAAAAGGCUAUUUCAGCUUUAGCCCGUUUCUCAUCAAAAUCAUGGGCUUUGCAGGAAUUUAUGUCCAACUUGUGUGACAGAAGGAUUUUAUUAGAAGAAACUUGUAUUAAUUUUAAACAGACAGUGCCAUCUGUCCUGUGUUUUGAGGCAUCACUCAUUGUUUCUGUUUGCUAAGUCCAGAGAAAGAAUUUAAUCACUAAUAACAUAGUAAUUGGUCUGAUCUUGUGAAAUUGA